rnacentral:rRNA from 1 species
UACAGAGGGUGCAAGCGUUGUUCGGAAUUAUUGGGCGUAAAGCGCGUGUAGGCGGCUUUGCAAGUCGGGUGUGAAAGCCCUCAGCUCAACUGAGGAAGUGCGCCCGAAACUGCAGUGCUCGAGUAUGGAAGAGGGUCGCGGAAUUCUCGGUGUAGAGGUGAAAUUCGUAGAUAUCGGGAGGAACACCAGUGGCGAAGGCGGCGACCUGGGCCAAUACUGACGCUGAGGUGCGAAAGCGUGGGGAGCAAACAGG